AUGUGUAUAAUCACUAAAGGGAAAAUUGAAAGUCAGUUUCAAUUCACAAUCGAUUUGAAAGAGUUCUAAUCGCCCACUGCCUCGCUAAAAGGAACCUAAUGGAUCAUACACCGUUUAAGGUAGAGAUUGAAGAAACAAUGGAGAUGAGUAAGGAUAAUUAAAUGGUUUAAUUAUUUAUGGCAAGGAUUAAUUAAUAUGUUAAUUAAUCAAACGAAUAAAGUUCGUUAACGACCUUGGGUUAGUUUUAGGCCUCAAGGCCCAAUGGGCUUCAAACAUCAAGCCCAUUGACUUAAGUUGUAUGACAACUUUAUGACUAAAUAUUCACAAAGGCCCAAACAACCCAAUAACACCCCAUGGCCGGCCAUAUUGAUAAAGGAGUGGGUUUUGGACUUAUUACAAGUUUGCCACUCCAAUGAAGGUAGGUAUAAAUAUGACUUUAUAGCCUUUUCUUCAUAAGGGUUUCUUUUAGUGAAAAGAUGAGAACACAAUGUCUCUCCCUUUCUCUCUAAAAGGUCGGCCCUCUUGGAGGAGAUUAGCUAGCAAUCUCUCAUCCUCCAAGGUCACUCAUCUCUUCUUCAAGUCCUUCCUUGGUGUGGAAAAAUUAGAGGUUCUCAAUUUUGGGAACUUGGAGAAUCCUUUCAACAUCCUCAUCCAAGAAAUCC
rnacentral:lncRNA from 1 species